rnacentral:misc_RNA from 1 species
CAAGAACUUGAAGGACUCAGAUGAGUACACGAAGUUGUGUGAAGAAGAAGAUGCAACACAUUGAGUGGACCUUGUCAUAGUCGAAAUUGUGGGUUGCUUCCUCUGUUUGCUCAACUUAAUAAUGCACUUUUGUCCUGAUUCAGUUGUGGUUUUCUCAUGUCUCUUUGUUACUAAUAAUAAAAUUGGUAACUAGUGUUAAUGUCUAUUCCCGUGUUUUAAUUUUUUUAAAGCGAUUUCAUUGUAUCAAU